rnacentral:rRNA from 1 species
UACGAAGGGGGCUAGCGUUGUUCGGAAUUACUGGGCGUAAAGCGCACGUAGGCGGCGCGGUAAGUCGGGUGUGAAAUCUCGGAGCUUAACUCCGAAACUGCAUUCGAUACUGCUGUGCUUGAGGACUGGAGAGGAGACUGGAAUUUACGGUGUAGCGGUGAAAUGCGUAGAUAUCGUAAGGAAGACCAGUGGCGAAGGCGGGUCUCUGGACAGUUCCUGACGCUGAGGCACGAAGGUCAGGGGAGCAAACGGG